GGAUGGUUCAGUGGUUAGAGCAGUGUGCUGAUAAUGCCAAGUUUGCAGGUUCAUCUCCUGCAGGGGGCAACA